AAAAAAAUGAAGUACAAGAUUUUAAAUCAACAGAUUAAAAAUACUUUGAUCGAUAGAAGCAAUAGACCAGAUAAUAACAAUGGGUAUAUGCUCGCCGUCUGUAACAAAAGAAUACAAUUACCAUGCAU